UUAGGAAUAUUCGUCAAUGGAGGAAACUCUGAACGAGCAAUGCCGCGUGAGUGAUGACGGUCCUUUGGAUUGUAAAACUCUGUUGUUUGGAAAGAAAUGUAAGAAGAGGAAAUGCUUCUUAUUUGACGGUACCAUUCAAGAAAGCCACGGCUAACUACGUGCCAGCAGCCGCGGUAAUACGUAGGUGGCGAGCGUUAUCCGGAUUUAUUGGGCGUAAAGCGUCCGCAGCCGGUUUGUUAAGUCUAGAAUUAAAGUCUGGGGCUCAACCCCAGUUCGUUUUAGAAACUGACAGACUCGAGUGUGGUAGAGGCAAACGGAAUUUCUAGUGUAGCGGUAAAAUGCGUAGAUAUUAGAAGGAACACCAGUGGCGAAGGCGGUUUGCUAGGCCACCACUGACGGUCAGGGACGAAAGCGUGGGGAGCAAAUAGG
rnacentral:rRNA from 1 species